CCUAAGGUCACGUGGGUGCCCCCUGGCUUGGGGUCCCAUGGGUGCCCGUGGGGUCCCAUGGGUGUCCGUGAGGUCCCACGCGCUUCCUCCGUGGCUGUGGGUCCCGUGGGUGACCCUAAGGGCGCCUGGGUUCCUCCAUGCUUGGGGGUCGUUGCGGGUGUCCCCGGGAUCCUAUGGGUGUCCCUGAGGUCCCCUGGGUGCCCACAUGUUUGGGGGCUUCCUGGGUGUCCCUAAAGGCCCCUGGGUGCCCCCGGUGGUUGAGGGUCGUGUGGGUGUCCCCAGGGUCCCAUGGGUGUCCCCGUGAUUGGGGCUUUUACGGGUGUCUUUAAGGGCCCCUGGAUUCCACUAAGUGUCCCCGAGGUCCCCUGGGUGCCCACAUGUUUGGGGGUCCCCUGGGUGUCCCUAAGAGCUCCUGGGUGCCCCCAGUGGUUGGGGGUCCCGUGGGUGUCCCCAGGGUCCCAUGGGUGUCUGUGAGGUGCCAUGGGUUCUUCCGAGGUCCCAUGGGUGCCCCCAUGAUUGGGAGUCAUAUGGGUGCCCAUGGGGUCCCCUGGGUGUCCCUGAGGUCCCCUGGGUUCCCCUAAUGGUUGGGGGUCAUGUGGGUGCCUCCAUGGUUGGGGGUCAUGUGGGUGUCCCCAAGAUCGUAUGGGUGUCCCUGGGGUCCCCUGGGUGCCCACAUGUUUGGGGGCCUCCUGGGUGUCCCCCUGGAUGCCCCCAAUAGUUGAGGGUCCCGUGGGUGUCCCCAGGAUCCCAUGGGUGUCCCUGAGGUCCCCUGACUGCCCCCCAUGGCUGCGGGUCCCCUGGUGACCCUAAAGACCCCUGGGUGCCCCCAGUAGAUGAGGGUCGCAUGGGUGCCCCCAUCAUUGGGGUCCCAUGGGUGCUCCUAGGAAUGGGGGGGUCCUGUGUGUGUCCCCAGGGUCCCCUGGGUGCCCCCAUGGCUGGGGGUCGUGCGAGGGUCCCAUGGGCAUCCCCCAGGGUGUCCAUCAGCUCCACGGGUUCCCCCAGUGGCUCAGGGUCCCCUGGGUGUCCCCUGUCUGUCUCUGGGGUCCUCUGGGUGUCCCCCCAUCCCCGGGUGCCCCAGCAGUUGUGGGUCCCCUCUGGUUGUCACCGCCGUCCCCCGGAGGCUCCUCAAUUCCUUUUUGGGGGGGG